UGGGGAAUUUUGGACAAUGGGGGAAACCCUGAUCCAGCCAUCCCGCGUGUGCGAUGAAGGCCUUCGGGUUGUAAAGCACUUUUGGCAGGAAAGAAACGUCAUGGGUUAAUACCCCGUGAAACUGACGGUACCUGCAGAAUAAGCACCGGCUAACUACGUGCCAGCAGCCGCGGUAAUACGUAGGGUGCAAGCGUUAAUCGGAAUUACUGGGCGUAAAGCGUGCGCAGGCGGUUCGGAAAGAAAGAUGUGAAAUCCCAGAGCUCAACUUUGGAACUGCAUUUUUAACUACCGGGCUAGAGAGUGGCAGAGGGAGGUGGAAUUCCGCGUGUAGCAGUGAAAUGCGUAGAUAUGCGGAGGAACACCGAUGGCGAAGGCAGCCUCCUGGGAUAACACUGACGCUCAUGCACGAAAGCGUGGGGAGCAAACAGG
rnacentral:rRNA from 1 species